rnacentral:rRNA from 1 species
UGAGGAAUAUUGCACAAUGGGCGCAAGCCUGAUGCAGCAACGCCGCGUGCGGGACGAAGGCCUUCGGGUCGUAAACCGCUUUUCUGGGGGAAGAGCAAGGACGGUACCUCAGGAAUAAGUCUCGGCUAACUACGUGCCAGCAGCCGUGGUAAAACGUAGGAGGCGAGCGUUAUCCGGAUUUACUGGGCGUAAAGCGCACGCAGGCGGCUCUGUUAGUCGGACGUGAAAGCUCUCGGCUUAACCGGGAGAGGCCGUUCGAUACUGCGGGGAUUGAGGUAGGGAGAGGAAUGCGGAAUUCCCGGUGUAGUGGUGGAAUGCGUAGAUAUCGGGAGGAACACCUGUGGCGAAAGCGGCAUUCUGGCCCUCACCUGACGCUGGGGUGCGAAAGCGUGGGUAGCAAACA